rnacentral:rRNA from 1 species
AGAGUUUGAUCCUGGCUCAGAACGAACGCUGGCGGCAGGCCUAACACAUGCAAGUCGAGCGCUACCUUCGGGUGGAGCGGCGGACGGGUUAGUAACGCGUGGGAACGUACCCAGAUCUAAGGAAUAGCCACUGGAAACGGUGAGUAAUACCUUAUACGCCCUUCGGGGGAAAGAUUUAUCGGAUUUGGAUCGGCCCGCGUUAGAUUAGAUAGUUGGUGGGGUAAUGGCCUACCAAGUCUACGAUCUAUAGCUGGUUUUAGAGGAUGAUCAGCAACACUGGGACCGAGACACGGCCCAGACUCCUACGGGAGGCAGCAGUGGGGAAUCUUGGACAAUGGGCGCAAGCCUGAUCCAGCCAUGCCGCGUGAGUGAUGAAGGCCUUAGGGUCGUAAAGCUCUUUCGCCAGAGAUGAUAAUGACAGUAUCUGGUAAAGAAACCCCGGCUAACUCCGUGCCAGCAGCCGCGGUAAUACGGAGGGGGUUAGCGUUGUUCGGAAUUACUGGGCGUAAAGCGUACGUAGGCGGAUUAGUCAGUCAGAGGCGAAAUCCCAGGGCUCAACCCUGGAACUGCCUUUGAUACUGCUAGUCUUGAGUUCGAGAGAGGUGAGUGGAAUUCCAAGUGUAGAGGUGAAAUUCGUAGAUAUUUGGAGGAACGCCAGUGGCGAAGGCGGCUCACUGGCUCGAUACUGACGCUGAGGUACGAAAGUGUGGGGAGCAAACAGGAUUAGAUACCCUGGUAGUCCACACCGUAAACGAUGAAUGCCAGUCGUCGGGCAGUAUACUGUUCGGUGACACACCUAACGGAUUAAGCAUUCCGCCUGGGGAGUACGGUCGCAAGAUUAAAACUCAAAGGAAUUGACGGGGGCCCGCACAAGCGGUGGAGCAUGUGGUUUAAUUCGAAGCAACGCGCAGAACCUUACCAACCCUUGACAUCCUAUGACAACCUGAGAGAUCAGGCUUUCCUUCGGGACAUAGUGACAGGUGCUGCAUGGCUGUCGUCAGCUCGUGUCGUGAGAUGUUCGGUUAAGUCCGGCAACGAGCGCAACCCACAUCCCUAGUUGCCAGCAGUUCGGCUGGGCACUCUAUGGAAACUGCCCGUGAUAAGCGGGAGGAAGGUGUGGAUGACGUCAAGUCCUCAUGGCCCUUACGGGUUGGGCUACACACGUGCUACAAUGGCAACUACAGUGAGUUAAUCUCCAAAAGUUGUCUCAGUUCGAAUUGGGGUCUACAACUCGACCCCAUGAAGUCGGAAUCGCUAGUAAUCGCGUAACAGCAUGACGCGGUGAAUACGUUCCCGGGCCUUGUACACACCGCCCGUCACACCAUGGGAGUUGGUUCUACCCGACGGCCGUGCGCUAACCUCUUCGGAGGAGGCAGCGGACCACGGUAGGAUCAGCGACUG